rfam:Ophiophagus hannah scaffold38.1, whole genome shotgun sequence.
AAAAAUGGAGACUAUGUUCCUAUUCCAGUGGCUGCAAUAACACUCACCCCACUGAUCAUCAAGGUUGAUUCUGCUGAUCUGACUGACUAGGCAGUUUUCCUUUCCUCCUUCACUGCUCCUUGUACAAAUAUCCCUCCAGAAGCUGCAUGCUUGGUAGAAGAGGAUGACCAUCCCAGAUAGAAGGAGUAUAAGUGAUGUUUGGUCAAGAAUAUAUGAUAACUGUGUUUCUCCGCAAGAACCUCCAAACAAGCUCAAGGUCCAUUAGACAUGUAUUUCUUAUCUAAGUUUUCUUAUAAAACUUACAAAGAUGACUGUAAAUCUUU